UGUGGGACUGAGCUUGCGACAAGUAGGGCGGGGCACGUGAAACCCUGUCUGAACAUGGGGGGACCAUCCUCCAAGGCUAAAUACUCGUAAUCGACCGAUAGUGAACUAGUACCGUGAGGGAAAGGCGAAAAGAACCCCGGAGGGGAGUGAAAAUAGAUCCUGAAACCGCAUGCAUACAAACAGUGGGAGCCUCGCAAGGGGUGACUGCGUACCUUUUGUAUAAUGGGUCAGCGACUUACGUUCAGUAGCAAGCUUAACCGAAUAGGGGAGGCGUAGCGAAAGCGAGUCUGAAAAGGGCGAUAUAGUUGCUGGACGUAGACCCGAAACCAGAUGAUCUACCCAUGGCCAGGAUGAAGGUGGGGUAACACCCACUGGAGGUCCGAACCCACUAGUGUUGAAAAACUAGGGGAUGAGCUGUGGGUAGGGGUGAAAGGCUAAACAAAUCUGGAGAUAGCUGGUUCUCCCCCGAAAACUAUUUAGGUAGUGCCUC
rnacentral:rRNA from 1 species